rnacentral:rRNA from 1 species
AAAUUGAAGAGUUUGAUCAUGGCUCAGAUUGAACGCUGGCGGCAGGCCUAACACAUGCAAGUCGAGCGGAAACGAGUUAUCUGAACCUUCGGGGAACGAUAGCGGCGUCGAGCGGCGGACGGGUGAGUAAUGCCUAGGAAAUUGCCCUGAUGUGGGGGAUAACCAUUGGAAACGAUGGCUAAUACCGCAUGAUGCCUACGGGCCAAAGAGGGGGACCUUCGGGCCUCUCGCGUCAGGAUAUGCCUAGGUGGGAUUAGCUAGUUGGUGAGGUAAGGGCUCACCAAGGCGACGAUCCCUAGCUGGUCUGAGAGGAUGAUCAGCCACACUGGAACUGAGACACGGUCCAGACUCCUACGGGAGGCAGCAGUGGGGAAUAUUGCACAAUGGGCGCAAGCCUGAUGCAGCCAUGCCGCGUGUGUGAAGAAGGCCUUCGGGUUGUAAAGCACUUUCAGUCGUGAGGAAGGUAGUGUAGUUAAUAGCUGCAUUAUUUGACGUUAGCGACAGAAGAAGCACCGGCUAACUCCGUGCCAGCAGCCGCGGUAAUACGGAGGGUGCGAGCGUUAAUCGGAAUUACUGGGCGUAAAGCGCAUGCAGGUGGUUUGUUAAGUCAGAUGUGAAAGCCCGGGGCUCAACCUCGGAAUUGCAUUUGAAACUGGCAGACUAGAGUACUGUAGAGGGGGGUAGAAUUUCAGGUGUAGCGGUGAAAUGCGUAGAGAUCUGAAGGAAUACCGGUGGCGAAGGCGGCCCCCUGGACAGAUACUGACACUCAGAUGCGAAAGCGUGGGGAGCAAACAGGAUUAGAUACCCUGGUAGUCCACGCCGUAAACGAUGUCUACUUGGAGGUUGUGGCCUUGAGCCGUGGCUUUCGGAGCUAACGCGUUAAGUAGACCGCCUGGGGAGUACGGUCGCAAGAUUAAAACUCAAAUGAAUUGACGGGGGCCCGCACAAGCGGUGGAGCAUGUGGUUUAAUUCGAUGCAACGCGAAGAACCUUACCUACUCUUGACAUCCAGAGAACUUUCCAGAGAUGGAUUGGUGCCUUCGGGAACUCUGAGACAGGUGCUGCAUGGCUGUCGUCAGCUCGUGUUGUGAAAUGUUGGGUUAAGUCCCGCAACGAGCGCAACCCUUAUCCUUGUUUGCCAGCGAGUAAUGUCGGGAACUCCAGGGAGACUGCCGGUGAUAAACCGGAGGAAGGUGGGGACGACGUCAAGUCAUCAUGGCCCUUACGAGUAGGGCUACACACGUGCUACAAUGGCGCAUACAGAGGGCGGCCAACUUGCGAAAGUGAGCGAAUCCCAAAAAGUGCGUCGUAGUCCGGAUUGGAGUCUGCAACUCGACUCCAUGAAGUCGGAAUCGCUAGUAAUCGUGGAUCAGAAUGCCACGGUGAAUACGUUCCCGGGCCUUGUACACACCGCCCGUCACACCAUGGGAGUGGGCUGCAAAAGAAGUAGGUAGUUUAACCUUCGGGGGGACGCUUACCACUUUGUGGUUCAUGACUGGGGUGAAGUCGUAACAAGGUAGCGCUAGGGGAACCUGGCGCUGGAUCACCUCCUUAUACGAUGAU